CCGGCGCUCCGAUUGGCCCUCUCGGAGAAAAGGGGCGUGGCCCCUCCUUACUAUGCGGUGCGAGGACCCAACAACAUUCCAAUCGCCACGGCCACGCCUCCGGGCCACUCCCCCUCGCCGAGCUGCGGCCUCCCCGUCUCCUCGGCCACACCCCCUCCCAACUACUUAAAAAGGCCACUCCAAAGCUCACGUUUUCCUGCUCGGUGCUCGGGUGUUCCAGUCGCCGCCGCCUGCUCGGGGAGGCGGAAUGGUUCCGCCCUUCGGGACGCGCUGAUUCACGGGAAAGAGUGCAACCAUGGCAUCCCGAAAGGGGUUUGGGGAGGGGAGACGACCUAGCACCCCAGUGCCCAAGCUGGGACCGACCUCGGGACUGGGACCACCGCAGUUCAGAUGAGACGCGGACGUGAGGAAGAAGGCUUUCCUGAGCUCCUCGCUUUAUUUUCGUUCGGGCACCCCUUCCCUGAUAGUCCCGCCCUCAGUCGAGCUGGCUGGAGGUCUCUCAGGCUGAAGUUUCAGUUCUGUGGCCUCCGGCUGCUCCCUGCAUGCUCUUUAGGGCCCCGGGGGACCCUCUUGGACUUUAAACUCAUAAAUUCGCAGC